rnacentral:rRNA from 1 species
UACAGAGGUCUCAAGCGUUUGUUCGGAUUCAUUGGGCGUAAAGGGUGCGUAGGUGGCGGGGUAAGUCAGGUGUGAAAUCUCGGGGCUCAACCCCGAAACUGCACUUGAUACUGCCUUGCUAGAGUACUGGAGAGGAGAUUGGAAUUUACGGUGUAGCAGUGAAAUGCGUAGAUAUCGUAAGGAAGACCAGUGGCGAAGGCGGGGUCUCUGGACAGUUCCUGACGCUGAGGCACGAAGGCCAGGGGAGCAAACGGG